UAUCCCACUACAGGUUUGGCAGAAGCCUGAGGACAGGACACGGCCAGACCAUUUCUGGUUAAGCAAAAACUACCUUCCAAAACAAAAAGCCAGAGACUAUUGCUUAUCAAGAGAUACCAAAAGACACACGAUGCCAACUCUCAAGCUAAGGCCAACAGACCCAACCAUUAAGGAGGAGAGCACAUUGUGGGGAGAAACAGACCAAUUCAGAUCAGCUCAACAACCAACAGGAAAUAGCUCUUUCCAACCCAGACCUAUACAACUGCCAAGCCCAUAGUUUCCCAAAGAAGUACCACUCUCAAAAACACCUCAAGCAGCCAGCCUUGGGUCCUGUUCAAAAUGAGAGUAAUAGCAGAGCUAAGAAAAACUUUAACAGAAAUGAAGUCUCUAGCCAGGAGUCCAAGAACUCCAAACCAGGAACCAGAGUUCAUGCUGGAGGGAGACUUUUACAUGGUUCCCCUAUGAACAGAACCUCACACAGUCACCUUAAAGAAAAACCCACACACAAGGAACGAAACCACCACAGCUUCUGUAGGGAAAUAACCCCAUGGAAUUCUUCUGGAAGUAGCCAAUAUAGUCCCUCUGAGAGGAGCCACCACAGGGCCUCUGAGAGAUGUCGCUGUCCCUCUGAGAGGAGAUGUCGCAGUCCCUCUGAGAGGAGAUGCCACAGUCCCUCUGAGAGAUGUCACAGACUCUUUGAGAAAACCCGUCGCGGUCCCUCUGAGAGGAGAGGACACAGUGCUUCUGAGAGAAGACCGUACAGACCCUCUGAAAGGGGCAGACACAGUCAUUCUGAAGAGUGGACACAGUCCCUCUGAGAGAAGCCACCGAAGUCCCCUGCAGGAGAGACUCAAGCACAGCUCACCUAGCGAGAAGCCCAGAUAUAGUUUAGGUAAAGAUUUCAGGAGUAACUCAAACAUGUUUCCUAAAGACCACACCAAAAAAUACCCAAGGGAGGGCAAGUUUGGAGGCCUGACGCUAGAAGAUGGGAAGAGACCCGCCCCAGUUAUUCAUUGCCUCACUCAAGUCUCCAUCAAGCUGCCUUUUCGUGGCUUCUUUCCUGCUCAGCCACUGGCUUCCACUUUCUGCGCCCUCAGCAAUAAAAGAGUUUCUACCUGAGGGGAGGGAGGGAGGGAAGGCGGGAAUGGCUCUGUCAUUUCCCUAAGAUAAAUAAACGGGUAAUAAUUGACCUUCCUGUGCACCUAGAAAGACCACUCGUCGUGCCCGGUGGAGCAUGGGGUCGUGGAGGGGCAGGAGAGGUAGUGCAGACGGAGGGAACGAGACGG